GAUGAACGCUGGCGGCGUGCCUAACACAUGCAAGUCGAACGGAGAUUACGGACGGAAGUUUUCGGAUGGAAGACUGUAAUUCUUAGUGGCGGACGGGUGAGUAACGCGUGGGCAACCUGCCCUAUACAGGGGGAUAGCAGCUGGAAACGGCUGGUAAGACCGCAUAAGUCGGCGAGACCGCAUGGUUUUGCCGGGAAAUGAGCAAUCAGGUAUAGGAUGGGCCCGCGUCCGAUUAGCCAGUUGGCAGGGUAAAGCCUACCAAAGCAACGAUCGGUAGCCGGACUGAGAGGUCGGACGGCCACAUUGGGACUGAGACACGGCCCAAACUCCUACGGGAGGCAGCAGUGGGGGAUAUUGCACAAUGGAGGAAACUCUGAUGCAGCGACGCCGCGUGAGUGAAGAAGUAUUUCGGUAUGUAAAGCUCUAUCAGCAGGGAAGAUGAUGACGGUACCUGACUAAGAAGCCCCGGCUAACUACGUG
rnacentral:rRNA from 1 species